CACACUGAAGGCGAGAGGUUUUGAAGUAGUCCCUCUCUUUUUCCCGCUGCUGUCUUCCUUUCGCUACUGUCUUUUUUCCUCCUUUCCCCUGUCUUGUUCAUUUUGUUAUUAGGAAGUGAGGAGUCCCAAGGAGCAAUACAUCGAAGCAUGUCUCAGCCAGAGGCUAGCAGCAGCAGCUAUGACAGUUCAAGAACCAGAAAGAGAGUCCAGAAGUAAUUCAGAUGCUGUGAACCAGAUUUCCUUUUCUUUGUUUUCUUUUGACUUUUUUCUCCUUUUCUAUUUGAACUGUUUUAUUUUCCUGUGAGUCUUGCGAGGUGGAAGUAAUGAUUAAAUACUCAUGUGUUCAGAAAACAUAAACUUUUUUUAUAAAAAUAUUUUGUACAAUUCAUUAAAGGCUAAUUUAUGAAAUUUGAAA
rnacentral:lncRNA from 1 species